AAGAGACUCACAUCACCUAGGUGAGGGGUCCAGAGAUAUGUCAUGAGGCCCCCUUGUGGGCAGGGCUCAGGAAGGAGAGAAACUGCUGUUCUCAAUGUCACCAAUCACAUGGACAUCACAAAUCACUUGCAAAGUCAACAGACUCUUGUCUGCCCGCACAGUCUUCAGAAAAUGUGUCCAGGUGAAUUCAAAGCAAGGCAUUCUAAUUAGAACAAUGUACAGAAGGAAAGAAGGUAUGAGAGUCUGAGGGGAGUUUGAGGAACAGAAAGUAGACAGGGCAUCUCUGAAUUGGGGACUCUGAUUGGCCCAGAAGGAAUCAACUACUAUGUCUGUGUGCAUAAGAACAGAGAUAGGCAAAGUUGACUGUAAGAAAUGGAACAUCCGGGCCACGCACAGUGGCUCACACCUGUAAUCCCAGCACUUUGGGAGGCUGAGG
rnacentral:lncRNA from 1 species